GUAGGUGAACCUGCGGAAGGAUCAUUAUUGAAUAAACUUGAUGGGUUGUCGCUGGCUCCUAGGAGCAUGUGCACACUUGUCAUCUUUAUCUAUCCACCUGUGCACCUUUUGUAGUCUUGGAUUAAUGAGCGUGUGUUCAGUACUCGCGCGAGUUUCUCUGAGUCUAUGUCUUUCAUAUACCACAUAGUAUGUUUUAGAAUGUUGUUAUUAGGUCUUAGUACCUAUAAAACACAAUACAACUUUCAGCAACGGAUCUCUUGGCUCUC
rnacentral:misc_RNA from 1 species